UGUAGCUGGUUGGAAGAGAGGACAAAAUGGUCAAAAAGCCUCGGAAAGAGUUGUCGGAAGGGACCGUUAUUCCUGCUGGGCAGGUUAGGACUGAUCUCUUUCUGCCACUCCAGGAAACACAAACCUGGGGACGGACUGACGUGUUACGCCUCUUCUAAUGACAUUUUUUUCUUUUUCUUUUCUGUAGGAGAGAGAGGAGAGAGGACCCUGAAACACACGCCACCUAUCUUUGUGGGGAGGGAUAAUUGAAGAGCGCCAAACGUGAGCAUCAUGUGGAAACGUGAUCGCCAAGUUUCUCUCUGGGAAAGGAAGGAUCUGGGAUAGAUUAUACCUUGAAGUCUCCGCGAACGCUUUAGUGGAAGAAAUGAAAUUCCACCUCCCUCUCUCUCUCCUCCUCCUCCUCCCCCCUCCCCUCCGCCUUUCCCUCCCUCUUUUCCACCCUCCCCUGGCCUGCCUGCCUCCUUCCCUCCCUCCCUCCCCAGCCAUCAAGUCUUUGGCAUCAUUAUCCUCUUCGCUAAAUCCUACUGGAUGCGAGGCGGAAAACGGUGAACACCAUUCACAGAACUAGCCCAACUCAAAGGAACUGAAAGUUGCAAGGAGACACCCGGAGGCUGUGCGGUUCGCAUCCCGCAGGCUUCCUCGCAGCGCGCGGCUAUAGAGCAAGACGGGAUCUGCAGCAGGGAAAGAGAGAUCUAGGGAUCAUUUGUUUGUUUGUUUGUUUGUUUGUUUGUUUAUGGGCUUCCUCCCUCGAUUGCUUUUCCUUCGCGCCCCUUUCAAAUUGCAGAUGCCAGAGUGACGGGGCAGGCGGGGAAAACAAAACAAAACUAUUCAUAAUAAAACUUAGGGGGAGAAAGGAAGACGCUGAAUUAGCGCUGAAGAUAUAUAACAAGUGGUCAAUGAACUCCUGGUCCUUAAAAAAAUAAAAAUAAAUUUAUGGGGCGUUUCAAAGCCGCUAAGCGCGCUUACUUAGAGGCAAAACCUUCUGCUGGAGAUACAACUUUUACUUGAGAGUGAAUGCAGCGAGGAUCUCUCGUGUGUGUGUGUUAAUAAGUCCCUGCUGCUCUUUUUUGUGGGUGGGAGGGAGAAAAUAUCGACAUUUUUCUCUUGGGGUGUAUGCAAAGGCUGAGAAUUGGGGGGAAAUAAUAAUUGCUUCCCCCCACCUUCUGCUCUCCUUUCACACUUGCAAGGAGAUAGUCAGAGGGGCAGUUAGGAAACAGAGAUAAUAGGUAUAGAGGAGUAUACGGGCGAAGUGCGGUGUAAAAAGACUCGGAACCCAUAAACAAGCAGACAAAAUAAAGACAGAAUGCAUAUUCAGUGAAUGAAAUAUAUAGGUAGCUUUCACGGACUUUUGCAACUGUGGCUUUAAGCUUGUUUACUCGGAAGCAAAUCCCUCUGUGGUCAGUGAGGUUAGCAUCACAGUAACUGUUCUUUAGGAUUGCAGUCAAAGAUUUAGACAGAUUGACUUCUACCUGAUAUUAGAAUAUCACACACACACACACACACACACACACACACACACACACAGUGUCUCUUACACACAGAUGGCCCUUGAAGGGCAGAAAGUUGAGUGGGUAGCUUUGCAUUUCAUGGGGGUAACAAGUCUUUUUUGUGUGUGCGCUCGCGGAGAGGUGGGGGGGGGACUUUGGCAAAGAUUAAAAUGAAAAUUAAGCCCUGAGACUCCACCUUUGCACUGUGGGGAUUGGUUAUGCAAAUGGGGAAGGGAUUUCCUGGCGAAGGCAGCUUUCUACUGUAUGGUUAAUUAAAUCAUCACUCAAAAAGGUUUCCAA